AAUGCUGAACCUGAAAGAAGUGUACCAAUGAAUCUAACUUGUGACCUUGGAGUUGGAUAGCUCUGGGGUUGAAGUUCAAUCACUAGUUGGACCUGAUUGAUGAAUCCUCGAAACUUGGAUCUGGUACCAUCAAACUUCUCGGGCAAGGCAACUCUCGGUUCUCUAACACUCGAAGGGUGUUCCAUUCUGGGAGAAGGGACAUGGUUU
rnacentral:lncRNA from 1 species